AGGAAAAUAAAAACGGUGAAGAAUAUUUGAAGGCUGGGAAGUGUGUUUUUUUGUAACGUCAGAAGACUUCGUUUAGAAAAUGGUAAACUUUCGCUCAAAUUAAAGGUGGAAAAGAACCCUGUUGGAUUCCCUUGAUUGAUGGAAGUGAUGAUAUUUAUACGCAUAGCCUCAGGAUAAACAUUACCUACAUGUGGCUUGCCAUCGAUGCUGUUUGAAAAUCAGAUAUACGCCACAUCGCACCCGCAGCGAAUGGCAGAUACCAACAGCGAUCACCACAGAGGUCGUCAGCACUACAGAAGGGAGCAUGACGUCAUUUGGGAGAGGCAACGUGUGUUAGACAGAAUAUAUUUUGAUCAGAACUCCUGCAACAAAUGUGCGCCAUACUUCGAAAAACCGCUUGUAGAAUGCGUUGAGAGGCAGUGUUCCGCGCAGUCUGUUUGCGUACAAGAAUUAUCAGAAAGUAGAAAGAAAUACCUACGUAGCCGAAAAUCUGCAUUACAAUUGGAAGCUGUCGUUUAAUGAUACCAUUGUAAGUAUUCCUAAACUUGCAUUCGGCUGAAAACAUCGAGCAAGGGCAGUGGUAGCAGUACUAGUGUUGUUGCUAUUAAGUGUGAUCUCUGUGAAGAUGAACCCCUUAGAGAAGAUAUUAUUUUGAACCAUGAUAAAGCAUUGAAAGUUUUUCCGCUAUUUCCUGUAAUAUUGCUAUAACAGAAAAUUUUUACACAAAUUCUUCACAUAUCAAUCAUACAUUUGCUGACUCUGUGACAAGCCGAUCACCAAAUAAUAAUUUUGGGUAAGUUUAUAUGGUUUUAUAUGGUUUGCUGUUUGCUCUUAUUUGGCGAUGCAACAAAAACUAUUCCACACCCUCGCGUAAUAUAGCCAGCAGAACCACAUUCCAAGAAAUGCAAUUGAUGAAUAAACCAAUAUAUAUACUAGGCACUGAUAAUGUUGCCAUUAAUGUUGUACAGACGAUGGCCGGAUAUUUCUUGGAGAUCGCGAUGGUAAUCUUUACGAAUUUGCCUAUCAGGCAGAAUCAACGUGGUUUGGAAAAGAUGCAAAAAAGUGAAUCGUUCACAAAGCAUUAUCUCCCUAGCGUUUUAAAAUCGCCAAUUGUUAUGUGGGCUGUUCAAGCAUUUAUGCUGUGAGUGGUGAGCCAUCACUUUCUAAUCAAAUACUUGGCAAUAUACCUGGCGGGUUCAAUAAAUUUCCAUAUUAAAAUAUUUCGAUGACUAUGGGACGUAAGGGAAGGUGUGGAACAUAGACAAUCGCAUCAU